rnacentral:rRNA from 1 species
GUGGGGAAUAUUGGACAAUGGGCGAAAGCCUGAUCCAGCCAUGCCGCGUGUGUGAAGAAGGUCUUCGGAUUGUAAAGCACUUUAAGUUGGGAGGAAGGGCAGUAAGUUAAUACCUUGCUGUUUUGACGUUACCGACAGAAUAAGCACCGGCUAACUUCGUGCCAGCAGCCGCGGUAAUACGAAGGGUGCAAGCGUUAAUCGGAAUUACUGGGCGUAAAGCGCGCGUAGGUGGUUUUGUAAGUUGGAGGUGAAAUCCCCGGGCUCAACCUGGGAACUGUCUCAAAAACUGCAUGACUAGAGUACGGGAGAGGGUAGUGGAAUUUCCUGUGUAGCGGUGAAAUGCGUAGAUAUAGGAAGGAACACCAGUGGCGAAGGCGACUACCUGGACUGAUACUGACACUGAGGUGCGAAAGCGUGGGGAGCAAACAGGAUUAGAAACCCGAGUAGUCC